rnacentral:rRNA from 1 species
AGAGUUUGAUCAUGGCUCAGAUUGAACGCUGGCGGCAGGCCUAACACAUGCAAGUCGAGCGGCAGCACAGGUACUUGUACCGGGUGGCGAGCGGCGGACGGGUGAGUAAUGCCUAGGAAUCUGCCUGGUAGUGGGGGAUAACGCUCGGAAACGGACGCUAAUACCGCAUACGUCCUACGGGAGAAAGCAGGGGACCUUCGGGCCUUGCGCUAUCAGAUGAGCCUAGGUCGGAUUAGCUAGUUGGUGGGGUAAUGGCUCACCAAGGCGACGAUCCGUAACUGGUCUGAGAGGAUGAUCAGUCACACUGGAACUGAGACACGGUCCAGACUCCUACGGGAGGCAGCAGUGGGGAAUAUUGGACAAUGGGCGAAAGCCUGAUCCAGCCAUGCCGCGUGUGUGAAGAAGGUCUUCGGAUUGUAAAGCACUUUAAGUUGGGAGGAAGGGCAUUUACCUAAUACGUGAAUGUUUUGACGUUACCGACAGAAUAAGCACCGGCUAACUCUGUGCCAGCAGCCGCGGUAAUACAGAGGGUGCAAGCGUUAAUCGGAAUUACUGGGCGUAAAGCGCGCGUAGGUGAUUUGUUAAGUUGAAUGUGAAAUCCCCGGGCUCAACCUGGGAACUGCAUCCAAAACUGGCAAGCUAGAGUAUGGUAGAGGGUGGUGGAAUUUCCUGUGUAGCGGUGAAAUGCGUAGAUAUAGGAAGGAACACCAGUGGCGAAGGCGACCACCUGGACUGAUACUGACACUGAGGUGCGAAAGCGUCGGGAGCAAAC